UACGUAGGGGGCAAGCGUUGUCCGGAAUUAUUGGGCGUAAAGCGCGCGCAGGCGGUUUAUUAAGUCUGAUGUGAAAGCCCACGGCUCAACCGUGGAGGGCCAUUGGAAACUGGUAGGCUUGAGUGCAGGAGAGGAGAGCGGAAUUCCCGGUGUAGCGGUGAAAUGCGUAGAUAUCUGGAGGAACACCGGUGGCGAAGGCGGCAUCCUGGACCGACACUGACGCUGAGGAGCGAAAGCCAGGGGAGCAAACGGG
rnacentral:rRNA from 1 species